rnacentral:rRNA from 1 species
CUACGGGUGGCUGCAGUGGGGAAUAUUGCACAAUGGAGGGAACUCUGAUGCAGCCACGCCGCGUGAGUUGAGAAGUAAUUCGGUAUGUAAAGCUCUAGCAGCAGGGAAGGAAGUGACUGUACCUGACAAACAAGCUACGGCUAACUACGUGCCAGCAGCCGCGGUAAUCCGUAUGUAGCAAGCGUUAUCCGUAUUUACUUGGUGUAAAGGGAGAGUAGGUGGCAGAGCAAGUCCGAAGUGAAUACCCGACGCUCAACCAUGGGAAUGCUUUAGAAACUGCUCAACUAGAGUGCAGGAGAGGUAAGCGGAAUUCUUAGUGUAGCGGUGAAAUGCGUAGAUAUUAGGAGGAACACCAGUGGCGAAGGCGGCUUGCUGGACUGUAACUGACACUGAGGCUCGAAAGCGUGGGGAGCAAACAGGAUUAGAUACCCGAGUAGUC